GUGCUUGUCCCAAGUCAGGAGUCUGUAAUUCAGUGGUUGUCACUUGUUUUUCGUUUAUUUUUGUAUAUGAAUAAGGUCGUUAGUUUUCUCGUUUGUUUGAAUUGUUUGCGUUUGUCAUUUUGAAACCUUCUAUAACUGACUAUGCGGUAUGGGCUAUGUUCAUUAUUGAAGUGCGUGCGGUGAACUAUAGUUAUUAAUUUUGGUGUCAUUUGGUUUCUUGUGGAGAGUUGUCUCAUUUACAAUCAUACCACAUCCUCUUUUUUAUAUUGUAUAUCAUUUUGUUUUGUGAAAAUUUUCAAACGCAGAUUAUCUAAUAUUUCUUUCGACACUUGAAACUUUC
rnacentral:lncRNA from 1 species